UGAGGAAUAUUGGUCAAUGGGCGAGAGCCUGAACCAGCCAAGUAGCGUGCAGGAUGACGGCCCUAUGGGUUGUAAACUGCUUUUAUAUGGGGAUAAAGUGGGGAACGUGUUCCCCUUUGCAGGUACCAUAUGAAUAAGGACCGGCUAAUUCCGUGCCAGCAGCCGCGGUAAUACGGAAGGUUCGGGCGUUAUCCGGAUUUAUUGGGUUUAAAGGGAGCGUAGGCCGUUUGGUAAGCGUGUUGUGAAAUGUAGGAGCUCAACUUCUAGAUUGCAGCGCGAACUGUCAGACUUGAGUGCGCACAACGUAGGCGGAAUUCAUGGUGUAGCGGUGAAAUGCUUAGAUAUCAUGAAGAACUCCGAUUGCGAAGGCAGCUUACGGGAGCGCAACUGACGCUGAAGCUCGAAGGUGCGGGUAUCGAACAGG
rnacentral:rRNA from 1 species